rnacentral:tRNA from 1 species
CUUUGGCGCAGUAGGUAGCGCAUCAGUCUCACAAGCUGAAGGUCCCGAGUCCGAUCCUCGGAAG